rnacentral:rRNA from 1 species
GGGUCAGUAGGUUGGUCGUGCCACCGGUACGUACUGGUCUCACUGAUUCCUCCUUCCUGAAGAACCGUAAUGCCAUUAAUUUGGUGUUGCGUGGAAACAGGACUGUUACUUUGAAAAAAUUAGAGUGUUUAAAGCAAGCUAACGCUUGAAUACAUUAGCAUGGAAUAAUGAAAUAGGACGAUCGAUCCUAUUUUGUUGGCUUCUAGGAUUGACGUA